GAGCCGAGAGACAGAAUUAACGGCCGGCCAGGCUGCCCCGCUCCGGGCUGGAGCUGCCCGCUGACACGGAGCUACAGCCCCACCAACAGCUCCUCCUGUCCGGGGAGGCUUUCACCGAGCUGCCGCUGAAACGCUGCGGAGCUUUAACAGCGACAUUAGCUCUAAAAGCAGCGCAGAGAGGGACAUACCUGGAGAUCUUGGGUGCGUAACAGAGAAACCUCAGUUUUCCUGGAGGAGUCGGUGCAGGAGGUUUGACAGCUCAGCAGCAGAGGACUGGUGACGGCGGCACAGCUGAGCCGGAAAUAAACUGGCGGCCAUCAAUCAAAACGUCUGUGUUCCCAAAAACCCCAAACAAACUCCUACUGGGCCGGGUCAUUUUUCUUCUUCAUGUAAUAUCUGCAGCAGUCUCGCUGAGGACGCUUUGAUUUCCCAUCGCUCAGCCAGUUGACAUUUAUUCCACAAACACUUGACAUUUGAAAAUUGUCUUCCUGUGUGAGGAACCUGCAGCCCCCUCUGCGCAGCGCCGUCCCGCCGGCCGGCCUUUGUACCGAGCAGCUGGACGAUGUCAGUGAAAGAUGGAACUCAGAUGAAAAGAGAAUCCUCUCCGCCUGAACUGGACCCGGAGUUCGUCCUCUCCUGCUAUAAAGUCUCACCGUUUUCUCAGACUUUCACAGCUUGGCAUGUCGUUUUUCCACACCUGCACUGCCCUCCUCCACCCUGCAGGCCGUGAUUUCCAUCAGAAACAUUAUGUACCGGCAGGGUAGCGCUGUGUUCUGCGUUGAGCUCGGGUCAGCGCCGGUUCCCUCACAGCUGUGAGUGAAAGGAGGAGGAGACCCUGCUGGUCAUGAUGAGUUCAAACCACAGCCUGAGCUUCUGGUCGGCCGCUUCAUUUGCAUGUCAAUGAGGAAUCUCAGCGUUCAGCGGCGGCGGCGAAACGCUCGACACCAGAACGGAUGAUUCUGAUCCGGAAACAUCUGCAACAAUGGCAGAAAGAGCAAACCUCAAAACAUUUGAUCUUUUCAGAUGUUCUCCUCCCAACAGCAUCGUGUUUCACUGACUGAUAACAAAGAGCAGCUAUAAAGGGGACAUAAUUCACAUAAUUCACAUAAUUCACAUUUUGUACGUCUGUUUGGGUUUCAACAUUUUCUAAAAACAAACUGCUAAACAAAGGGGAAAAAACCACAAUCUGUCUUUUACCAAUAAGUUUUAUGAUGUCUGGAAAAUAAGCAGUUUCAAAAACCUCUGAAAUGACCCAUUACCUAGCAACCCCACCCUGUUACCUAGCAACCCAAACUGAGUUCCAGCCUGUUUGCUCAGCUGGUUUUAUCAAUCAA